rnacentral:rRNA from 1 species
UACGUAGGGGGCCAGCGUUGUUCGGAAUCAUUGGGCGUAAAGCGGGUGUAGGCGGCUCUAUAAGUCAGGAGUGAAAGCCCCGAGCUUAACUUGGGAAGUGCUUUUGAUACUGCAGAGCUUGAAUGUGGGAGAGGUUAGUGGAAUUCCUGGUGUAGUGGUGAAAUACGUAGAUAUCAGGAGGAACACCGGUGGCGAAGGCGGCAUCCUGGACCAAUUCUGACGCUGAGGAGCGAAGGCCAGGGGAGCAAACGGG